rnacentral:rRNA from 1 species
AGUGAACGCUGGCGGUAGGCCUAACACAUGCAAGUCGAACGGCAGCACAGUAAGAGCUUGCUCUUACGGGUGGCGAGUGGCGGACGGGUGAGGAAUACAUCGGAAUCUACUUUUUCGUGGGGGAUAACGUAGGGAAACUUACGCUAAUACCGCAUACGACCUACGGGUGAAAGCAGGGGAUCUUCGGACCUUGCGCGAUUGAGUGAGCCGAUGUCGGAUUAGCGAGUUGGCGGGGUAAAGGCCCACCAAGGCGACGAUCCGUAGCUGGUCUGAGAGGAUGAUCAGCCACACUGGAACUGAGACACGGUCCAGACUCCUACGGGAGGCAGCAGUGGGGAAUAUUGGACAAUGGGCGCAAGCCUGAUCCAGCCAUACCGCGUGGGUGAAGAAGGCCUUCGGGUUGUAAAGCCCUUUUGUUGGGGAAGAAAAGCAGCAGGUUAAUACCCCGCUGUUCUGACGGUACCCAAAGAAUAAGCACCGGCUAACUUCGUG